rnacentral:rRNA from 1 species
CCUACGGGUGGCUGCAGUGGGGAAUAUUGGGCAAUGGGCGCAAGCCUGACCCAGCAACGCCGCGUGAAGGAAGAAGGCCUUCGGGUUGUAAACUUCUUUUUAUAGGGAAGAGCAGUAGACGGUGCCUCUUUAAUAAUCCACGGCUAACUACGUGCCAGCAGCCGCGGUAAUACGUAGGUGGCAAGCGUUGUCCGGAUUUACUGGGUGUAACGGGCGUGCAGCCGGGAAGACAAGUCAGUUGUGAAAUCCCGCGGCUCAACCGCGGAACUGCAUUUGAAACUGUUAUUCUUGAGUACAGGAGAGGUCAUCGGAAUUCGUUGUGUAGCGGUGAAAUGCGUAGAUAUAAGGAAGAACACCGAUGGCGAAGGCAGAUGACUGGACGGCAACUGACAGUGAGGCGCGAAAGCGUGGGGAGCAAACAGGAUUAGAUACCCGAGUAGUC